UACAGAGGGGGCAAGCGUUGUUCGGAAUUACUGGGCGUAAAGCGCGUGUAGGCGGUUGCCCAAGUCCGGUGUGAAAGCCUUGAGCUUAACUCAAGAAAUGCACUUGAUACUGGGCGACUAGAGGACCGGAGAGGAUAGUGGAAUUCCCAGUGUAGUGGUGAAAUACGUAGAGAUUGGGAAGAACACCAGUGGCGAAGGCGGCUAUCUGGACGGUUACUGACGCUAAGACGCGAAAGCGUGGGGAGCAAACAGG
rnacentral:rRNA from 1 species